rnacentral:rRNA from 1 species
UUGAAAGGGAAACGAUUGAAGUCAGUCAUGCUGGUGGGAAUCAACUUAGGGGAAACUCUAGGUGCACUUCUUCGCUUGGCAGGUUAACGUCGAUCUUGAAUGCCAUAAAAUAAUUGGGGGAAGGUAGCUCCUUCGGGAGUGUUAUAGCCCUUGAUAGAUGUGAUGUUUGGGGUCGAGGAUUGCAACGGAUACCCUUUUGGGGCUAGCCGCCUGAUCUCUAAUCGGUGUUGGGUUACGGAUAGCAUGCUGACCGUGAUCUAAUUACUGGUUAAAAGGUUAGAGCGUGCAUAAAUUCGUUAAGGAUGUUGACGUA